CUCCUUUCCGGAUUGUAAGCUCUGUGAGGACGCGGGCUACCUCUCCCUUGUUUACCAGUCUCUCAAAUAUGCGCCAGAAGACUUACCACAGCAUACCUUAAACAGGUGCUUCACUGAGGAAGCAAAAAAAUAUAUAAAGGGAAUUUUAAAAAGAGGGGCCAAGGACCAAACUGAUCAAAAGCGAAGAUGGGCCACAGACGUGGAAAAUGGGGGCCUGGAAAAUUCCAAGCCAUACGCUGGAAAGCACACGCCGGACCGGCUUGCAUGCCAGCAUCAUCUCUCAGAGGAGAACAUCUGUGCUUGAGAACAGCCAGUAGAAACCACUUCUCCAUGGCUACAGCCCCAACCAAUGAAAACAAAGCUUUGUAAAGGAAGUAAAUGUGGUCUCUUUCACGUCUGUAUCUCCAAUCUCUAGAACAGCAGCUGGCAUACAGUGGACACUCAAUAUACCUAUCACAUAUCAGUCACAGAGGGGGACAGCAUUUGGAGACUGGGAGAGCAAGUGUGGAAGCAAGGAGAGAAGUUGGAGGCACACAGAGAAAUCCAGACAAGAGACAAUGAUGGCUUUGAACACGGGAAGGUAGUCUUCAGGGGUCCCUCCCAACCCUGCAAAGUCCCCUAAUAAAAUUUCUG